GAGGGGACUACUUACUCCUGAAGCUUGAAUCUUGGGAACAAUCAGCAGAUGUCUGAGACCGACCGAUCGGAAAAGCACCAAAGCCUUAGCGACCGACAUACUCUGCACCACUGUGUAAGGUGUAGUGUUGGUCAAAGGAUGAAGAUCAACAUACAUUUGCAUCUCUGAGCUUGUGAUUGCAACAUCGUCGAAAUUGUCUUCUCUCUCAGCCAACUCCACCGGUGUGAACUUUUCUCUGACUUCCCAGUCUUCUGUUCUUCUCUUCUCAUUCAAGAACCAUCUCUUUUUCAAAACUUUAACAAGAUGUGCUCUCAAGAUCAACCCAUGAAGCUCUGUAGCAUCACCAUCCAGUACCGGGAAGGCGUUAUGCGUUGUGUUCCUCAGUGCAUCUACUAUAUUGGCAACUUUUUCAACUCCGCGAAGGGUAACCACCGGAGGCUUAGCAUCACCAAGCUCACCUACAGUGAGAUUCCUCAUCCAUGGCUCAGGAUUUGCUUCCAGGAAUGGUAAGCCCUUAAGAUGGAGAAUGAUCUCGUAGAUACUAAGAUUGAAGCUGUCUCCAACUGUUUUAGCAAUGAGAAGCACAAACAUAGUAAUGGGCAACAAAAGAAGGUUGUUGGUGAGCUCAAGGAAUAUAACACAGAGAGAAACAGUCAUUCUCAUGGAACCAGCCAUGAGAGAAGCUGCACCAAGGACCGCGUAAAGCCCUUGGUCGAUCUUUGUGUAAGGUCCCAUUACUGUGCCUAGCAUCCGACCGUAAGCAGAACCCAUGAGGAUGAUCGGUAAGAAGAGACCGGAAGGUGUGGCUAUACCGAAUGUGAUAAGCCCCAAAAUGCAGUAGAGACCAAAGUAUAUCCACAGGGAAACCAUACCAAACUCAUUAGGAGUGUUUGAAGAGAACACGUUUCUGACAGCAUCAUCAUUGGUUGUGAGAAACAGAGUCGCUAGAUCGUUGUAGUAACCGUUGGGACAGUUGAACUGCUUGAAGUUCCCUGAUCUUCCGUUUGUUGGACAUGCCUCGUCUAUCGAAGGAUUACAAGGCUUGCAUUCCGCUAAGAAAGGAAGCCCGUACAAGCAAAGUGAUGUGAAGAGAGACACCGAAAGACUUAGAAGCACCUUGUGAAUCUUACCCUUCCUGCACAAACCAAUGUUAAGUAAAGUGAAACUCUCUUGUGUUGUUGAUGUUUUCUUGACUCACAAGCAAUCACUUACUGGUUGAUGAGAUUGUAAAGACGAAGGACUUUAUGAAGAAGGUGAUUGUACAAGCUUCCAAGAAUGCCACCAAUGACACCAAUCAAUGUAACAGGGAUUAUAUCCACUGCAUGGUACCUAACCUCUACAUGACUCACAUCAAACAUAAUGAGUCCUCCUUUACCGAAGAGCCCGCAUUUACCGGAGUUGCAAAUCUCUAUGAAAGCUCUCAGUACAACCACCACAACAGCUGUACUGAAGAAGGUUCUCCAUAGAAGAGCGCUUCUCCACCACGUGGCAACUUCCUCAAGAGCGAAGAGAACCCCUCCUACUGGUGAUCUGAAAGCUGCACAUACUCCAGAGGCAGAUCCACAUGUAAUAAGAUCUCUUCGGUCUCUGUCGUUGUUGAAGUAACGAAGCCAUCUCCAUUUGAUUCUAUGGUUGUCUGGACCACCUUGACCGAGUAAAGAAGCUAUGCAGCUUCCAAUGUGAACCAAAGGCCCUUCUUUGCCAAGAUCAAGUCCAGCUGCAACUGCUCCAAUACUUCCAACAAUCUAUAUUCAAAAAUACAGUAAAAAAAUCUAUGAGUCAAACAGUUAAUAGAUGGCGCUCAUGAACGUUCUCACAAGGUUUAGGAAACAAACCUUAACGAUCAUGGUGGUGGCACCAAACAUAUUGGGAGUGUCGAUGCCAUUAAGGUAAGCUUUGAUCUCUGGGAUCCCAGGACCAGCAGCUGUAGGAGCAAAGACAACAACAAGUACUGUCGCCACCAGAGUCAGACCCAAAUUCGCACCAGUAAAAACCAACAGACCUGUCACAUAUCUAUUUCAACAGAAACGUAUCAUACAAGUUAACUCCAUUUCUUAGUUAUGAACGUUUUUUUUUUGGUCAAGAUUUUGAUGAUGAGUCAAUACCUGUCUUGACCGAUAUAGUGGCCGACGGCCAGGAGUUUGUAACCCGCGAUGUUUUCGACGGCGAGGUUGAUGAGAGUAGCUAUGAGACCAGUUAAGAGACCAACAAGAAAAGCUAAUGUCCAUUUUGCGAAUAUGUAUUGCAACACUUGUGCCUUUGAUCUGCUUCUCCAGUCAUGCUUGAACAGAUCGUUCUCAUUUAUCCUGAAGAAACCACAAAAUUAUAGCUUAAAUUUUUGUUUGUUUGUUUGUUUUUUUAUACAAAAUUAUCACCGAAAUUUGUUCCCCAUGUUCUUAUUUGAAUGAAGGUUAUCUUUUAAUAGAGAAGAAGAUAAAAAAAACUUUAUCAAAAAGAUAGAUACCAAGACUUAUCAGACAACUAUAAUAAAAGGUAUCAGAAUCUUAUCAUGAUUCUUUUCAAGAUUUGCUGAUGAUUGUUUGCGGAAAAUUGAGAUGUGAGAAAAUAUUGAAGUGUUACAACAGUUCAAAUGUCUCGACCACUAAAAUAUUUAUCCAAUUUUUAAAAAUAUAAUUUAUGUUCUAAAAAAUCAGAAUAGAUAGAGACUAACGCUUUAUAGAAAGAGAUUGAGACCCAGAAUCCAUUCAAAAAAUUCUAAAAAAAGAUUACUUGAAAAGAGAGUGAGAUUAAAUCCUUAUAUCCAAUUUUUUUCUUAAAUAAACAUUAUCUGAAAACAGAGAAAAAAGCUCAACACUAUAUAGAAAAGAUUUUUAAGCCCAGUUACAAAAAAAAAAGAAUAAGGCUCCGACCGGUGACCUUUACGGGAACACGAGGAACAAAUAGGAAAAGAACGUAUAGAAAUAAAAUUACAAGAAUGAAAAAGACUGAUUGUUCCUUAUCAAAUUAAACAAGAAAUGCUUUUGUUCUAUAUUUCUCUACACAAAAUAGAAUGAAGAGGAAAAAGAAGGAAAAACUAUUCUUUUUGAAUGGUGAUUUUUUUUUGGAAUGAUAAGAAAUUCAGCGUUUCUUUUCGUUUCUUGGUCAUCAUUCAAAGCCUAAUUUAAUUUAUUACUUGAUUUUUAAAAUAAAACUAACAAAUUAAUUAAUAUAUAAAAACAAUAGUUAUCUAGAGAAGGAGGAGUGCGUAUUUGCAAAUACGCUAGUUAUUACGUCAAGUGCGGUUAUUAGGCCAUUAUUAUCGCGAGUCCUAAUGCCCGUCCCCCAUAUUAUUGGGUCGAAAAAUAAAUAAAAAAGACCGAAUAUCAUUGUAAACGGACCUUAAUUAAGGUCUUUGGGCUUCGUCCUUAUGGGCGACGUGGCAGCAUCCGGUUGGAAGUCGAAAUAGGGUUGGGGAAAGUCAGACCGUCCUCUUCUAUUUUCCAGCCUUCUCUUUGAUUCUCUCUUCUCCGCGGCGAUAGCAGUGGCGAUAGGUUCUCCGGAGGUGCGAGUAGUUGCCUCAUCGACGCUUCUCCGCCGAUUCAAUCGAUCUGCUGCCUCUUCGACGCUUCUUCGCCAAGUCAAUCGAUUCAUCACAUCGACUCUUCUCCGCCGAUUCAAACCUAAACGAGGUAUGUCUUCCUCCUCCUUCAUGGGUUUUUUUUGUUGUUGUGAUUGACGAUUUGUAUCUCCGGUUUGUGGGAUCCGUCAUGGGAUUUAGAUGAUUAUGUAUUGAUUUUUGAUUUGUAUCCGCCUUGUUCUGUGAUUGGUUGGUUUUGAUGUUUCUGAAUCGGAUCGUCGUUUGUGAUGAAUGGGAUUGUGGUUUGUGAUUGUAAAUGAAAUAGAGUUACGGUUUUCUUAAUCUUGUUUCGUCUUCCUUGCAUGGAUAGAACAGUUUAGCAAUUUCGUUGUACAAACGUCGUGAUGCUUGAUUUGAUUAAGAAAAUUAGCUGGCCUUGAUGUUUGAUUUCAUUUAGGAUCAUUUGAAUUCCUGUUAUAUAUUGAGAAUUUCAUUUGAUUCUUUGUUUGAUUCUCGUUUCUAUUGUAUGUAUUGAGUUAAAUUUUGAGUUUCAUAUAUAUAUUGCAACUGAUUAGUUAGAGACUCUCGUUUCUAUUCCUGUUAUACAUUGAGUUAUAUAUCAAGUUUCAUGUAUAAAAUGCUCUGUAAUGAAUGAUGUAAUAUAGUCAGCCUUUUAAUACUAUCGUUUCAGUUAAACCGUGCCCUUAUUGAGUUUGAAAUUGAGUUAUAUAUUGAGUCUGAUGAUUUAGAGUUACAGUUUGAAACUUAGUUUGAUUGAAACCAAAUACCCUUUGAAUUAAAUGACCUUGUAAAAGUUAACUUGAUUGGUUUUUGUGUUGUUGUUUGUGUAAUAACUUCUGAUAAGACCUUGUUGGUUUAUGGUUAGUCAUAAUGUGGCUUACUUACCACACUUUAAACUUUUGGCUAUUAAACCUCAACCAUACAUUGUAUAAUCGACGCAAUCUACUAUCUCGCUUUCUCUCUUCUCUGUUCUUAUUGGUAUGGCUUCAAGGUAUCCAUAUACCCAGUCCUCUGGUUAUAUAGGACUCCUUAACAGUCAACACGAAACUGUUAACCAUGAAAACUACCCUUAUGGAAGUUUUCAUUCUUGUGUGAACCUUGGAGCAUCAAAAAUCCCCCCUUUCAGUUCCCAACAACCUGACGUGCCAUCUCAACCUGUAGUCACACCAGUGGAGCGUAGGGAGAGGAAGAAAUAGACGCCUUCUGACGACGAGGUUCCGAUAAGUGGCUGGCUGAACACAUCUAAGGAUGUUGUUGUUGGAAACGAUCAAAAUGCACGGACCUUCUGGGAACGUGUUGAAAAUUAUUUCAAAGCAAGUCCUCACGCUAGAGCGUGCCUUCGGAGUCCUGCAAGCUAGAUUCGCCGUUGUUAGAAAUCCAUCUAAUUUAUGGAAUAAAGACAAAAUAGGAAAUAUUAUGAGAGCAUGUAUCAUACUCCAUAAUAUGAUUGUCGAAGAUGAACGAGAUUUAUACACUCAGCAUAACACUUCAGAAUUUCAACAAGAUGUUGAUCCUACAUUUGUAGUCAAGAGGACUAAAAAUCUCGGUACUACAAUGGGUCGUCGAGCAGAAGUUCGGGAUAGACAAGGCCAUCAACAAUUAAAAGAAGAUUCGAUUGAAAAUAUAUGGGCUAAAUUUGGACAUCUCCCAAAUAACUACAAUGUUUAGAAAAACUUGGACGGAGAAAAAAAAUAAACUACAAUGUUUAAGUUUUUAUGAAUUCAAUAAAAUGUUUGUUUGCUUUUUUAUCAUGUUUGUAAUUUUUUUUCCAACUUUGUAAUUUUCUCAUGUUUUCAAUUUUAAUGUUAUAUGUUUUAUUUUAAUUUUUUUCUUUUAUAUAUCAUUACUUAUUUAAAUAAUUAAUUAAUAUACUAAGAAACAUCAAUAAGUCUUACCAAUAAUCCUAUUUUCUAAAAUUGUCCUUAACUUUAGUCCUUAACACCUAAAUAAUAAUUAACUAAUCUAAGGACUUAACAAUUAGUCCUAGCAUGCCCUUACAUAGCUUUUACGUCAAGUGCAGUUUUAGACGGGUGUCAAGUAUUUGAUUGAUAGUUUGAGCAAUUGCGUGAUGUCAGAGCAUCUACAAAAAAGAACUCUAUUUUGAAGUUUCUAAAGCUCUAUAUUUAAAGUUUAAAGGUGUUCUUCUCCAAAAGCAAAACUUCAAACUCAACUUUAAAACUAUUUAUAUUUUAUAAUAUGGUCCUUAUAUUUAUCAUAACUAAUUUGAAUUCAUAAAAAUUUUGUAAAUAACUAGCACAUAUAUAAACAUAUUACAACAAUAUUAAUUAAUAAAAUUUUAUAUUAAAAUAUAAAUUUUUAAACAAAAUAAUUUAAUUAAUAUUAAACUUCAAUCAAAAUACCAUAUUAUUCUAUUAAGUGAUUUCCGUAAUGCAUAUAUGAUCUACUAGUGCUUUUUGAAGUAAAAAUGGUUAUCCUCAUUUUUAAUUUGUAAAUUAGAUAUAAAAAUUGUUGAAAUUGGGUGAUAUUAAUACUUGUAAAUACAUUAGAUAAGAACAAGAAAGUAAAAGAUAAACAUAAAAUAUUGCUAAAAGACUAAUUUUUAUCGAUAAUAUUAAUACUCGUGAAUAUAUUCAAUAUAAACAAGAAAUAAUUGUACGAAAAUACAUCAUCAACAACAACAAUAACGACCAUCUUCAGUUACACAAAAAAAUUGGACAAUAUUUAGAAAUUUUGAAGGUUCCGGUUCAAACUUACUUGACUAUUAGUGUUGUUGUAAUAUUUAAAUUUGUGUAAAUAGUUAUGUCUUCAUGUAAUUUUUAAAAGCAUUUUUUGUUAAGUUUCUUUUGUAUAUUUUUGUUAUCUAAAUCUGCUCUUAAAUAUUUUAAAUCUUAUUUUAAAGUUUUAUUUAAUUUUAUGUAUAAACUUAAAUUUUGUAAACAAAACUUAAAUAUUUAUGAGAUAUAAUUCUUAUAAGGAUUAAAACAAUAAACAAUAAAAUAUAUAUAAAUCAUAAAUGUGUUGUGUAAUUGUAUGGAUCAAAAUGCAAAUAAAAUAUGAAACUUCAAAUUUGAAGUUUUGAGUAGUGAAACUUCAAAUAUAGAGUUUCACUCCUCAAAAUUUCAAAUUUGAAGUUUUGAAGUUUCUUUUUGGAAAGCAAAAAAACUUCGUAUUUGAAGUUAUAGAAUAUCUUUUGGAGAUGCUCUAAAACCGCACAUUUUUGAGAAAAUUUCUUGAUUGGUGGUGAAAAGCGGUUUUGACAAUAGGCACUUUGAAUUCCGCUUUUAUUUUGUACACGUCAGUCCCCCGUUUCUUCAUGACAACAACUUUUUAUAUACAUUCUUGGUUCAAAUGAGUUAUAAGAGGUUCUAUUGCAAAUGACCGGCAGAUACUGACAAAAACUUUCAACAGAAUUGUAAAUGUACUCGAAUUGAUUAUUUCUUGUAAUAUAUGGUAAAAAAAAUAUAGAGCUUUACAAGUAGAAAGUACAAAUGUACGAAACAACAAUAUAUGUGUUUUUGUGUGGGUCUAGAAGAAAGAAUGCAAGCAAAACUGGACAGAAUAAAUAUCACUAAGAAUGGGAGAAAGAACACAAUAAUCCAAAGAUGAUGCAAUCACUCACACAUAAGCAAAAGGUAAUGAAUCUUGCUUUUGCUUAGUUUCUUUUAUCGUAGCUUUCCACUUUUGUGUUUAUCCAAAUGAGGAAACGCUUGGAGAAUGUUAUAAGCCCUUAGAUCUUGCCUUGUUAAGAUCCCUAUCACAGGAGACAUCUGCAAACACAUAAAAGACAAGUUUAAAGUAGUGUUCUUGCAAGAUUGCUUACUUUCAAGAAAGGAGGGGACUACUUACUCCUGAAGCUUGAAUCUUGGGAACAAUCAGCAGAUGUCUGAGACCGACCGAUCGGAAAAGCACCAAAGCCUUAGCGACCGACAUACUCUGCACCACUGUGUAAGGUGUAGUGUUGGUCAAAGGAUGAAGAUCAACAUACAUUUGCAUCUCUGAGCUUGUGAUUGCAACAUCGUCGAAAUUGUCUUCUCUCUCAGCCAACUCCACCGGUGUGAACUUUUCUCUGACUUCC
rnacentral:lncRNA from 1 species